rnacentral:rRNA from 1 species
CACGUAGGGACCGAGCGUUGUCCGGAUUUAUUGGGCGUAAAGAGCUCGUAGGCGGUUCAGCAAGUCGGGUGUGAAAACUCUGGGCUCAACCCAGAGACGCCACCCGAUACUGCUGUGACUAGAGUCCGGUAGGGGAGUGGGGAAUUCCUGGUGUAGCGGUGAAAUGCGCAGAUAUCGGGAGGAACACCAGUAGCGAAGGCGGCUCGCUGGGCCAUUCCUGACGCUGAGACGCGAAAGCUAGGGGAGCGAACAGG